CUGCCAUCGAAAAAUUGAUAAUCCCCGCAGAAGUUGAGGAUGAGAUAUUCCGGUGUUUAAGCAAAUUUGAAGCAGACACAAGAUUUGCCGUCCGGUCAUCAGCACUGGGCGAGGACUCCGAGGAUAUGUCAGCUGCCGGGCAAAUGACAACGUUACUUGGAGUUAGAGCAGCGAAGAAAGUAGCUGAAGCUGUGAUGAAAUGCUGGGCGUCACAGUUCAGUUUCACAAACGUGAACUACAAAAAGUAA
rnacentral:lncRNA from 1 species